rnacentral:rRNA from 1 species
GACGAACGCUGGCGGCGUGCCUAACACAUGCAAGACGAGCGGAGUUAGUUUGUAGCUUGCUACAAACUGACUUAGCGGCGGACGGGUGAGUAACGCGUGGAUAACCUGCCUUUUACAGGGGGAUAACACAGGGAAACUUGUGCUAAUACCGCAUAACAUAUAGAAGUGGCAUCACUUUUAUAUCAAAGGAGCAAUUCGGUAGAAGAUGGAUCCGCGUCCGAUUAGCUAGUUGGCGGGGUAAAGGCCCACCAAGGCGACGAUCGGUAGCCGAACUGAGAGGUUGAUCGGCCACAUUGGGACUGAGACACGGCCCAGACUCCUACGGGAGGCAGCAGUGGGGAAUAUUGCGCAAUGGGGGAAACCCUGACGCAGCAACGCCGCGUGAAGGAUGAAGGCUUUCGGGUUGUAAACUUCUUUAGUCGGGGACGAAUGGAUGACGGUACUCGAAGAAUAAGCCACGGCUAACUACGUGCCAGCCGCCGCGGUAA